UGCCUUUGUGUUCUUUGAGUCGCU
rnacentral:siRNA from 1 species